UCGACUAUCCAAAGAUUAGGUACCGUUUGGAACUUCAAGUCAACGACUCUACGGAAUCAACAAUAUUUGUGUUGUUUGCCGAAGUUGCUGAACAAUUGGCACAACUAAAGCUAGAUGACCUCACCCCGGAUUUAGAAAAUCAGACUGGACGUGACUCUGAUCUGCCUAAACAGCUCCAGCAUAUCAUUGGUUCAAAGCAUAUUUUUCAAGUUAAGCUGAGCUCUUACUUUGAACGUCGUGGAGUACAAAGCUUCACUGCACAUAAGAUUCUGAAGCCAGUUGUUAAGAUUGAGAAAGAAGACAACAUUGCCACUGCGUGUUCUUCCUCAAGUGGAUCUCUUACCAUUGAAAUACCAGAUUUGCCGAAGAAGAGGAGAAAAUUAAUAUUGCACUCCAACAAAUCAGGUGAUAAGGACCAGAAUGAAGAUGUGGAAGAUUUAGAAGAUUGAGAAGUUGGCUGCUAAGGAUUUAAGAGGAUUUGCUUUUGAAGUUGUUUUUCAUGGUUUAGUUUAUGUUUCUCUAAUCAAUAGAGAUGUGGAUUUCAGUUUAUGUUUUUUUGA